rnacentral:snRNA from 1 species
GUGCUUGCUUCAGCAGCACAUAUGCUCAAAUUGGAACAGUACAGAGAAGAGGACUGUAUUCGUGAAGCGUUCCAUAUUUU